UACGGAGGGGGCUAGCGUUGUUCGGAAUUACUGGGCGUAAAGCGCACGUAGGCGGCUUUGCAAGUCAGAGGUGAAAGCCCGGGGCUCAACCCCGGAACUGCCUUUAAAACUGCAUCGCUUGAAUCCAGGAGAGGUGAGUGGAAUUCCGAGUGUAGAGGUGAAAUUCGUAGAUAUUCGGAAGAACACCAGUGGCGAAGGCGGCUCACUGGACUGGUAUUGACGCUGAGGUGCGAAAGCGUGGGGAGCAAACAGG
rnacentral:rRNA from 1 species